rnacentral:rRNA from 1 species
UCGCUACUACCGAUUGAAUGGCUUAGUGAGUUUCACGGACUGAGGCUCAGGAGUUUACUCUUGAGUUUUGGGAAGUGAUGCAAACUUGAUCAUUUAGAGGAAGUAA